CUCCGGGCUUUGUUUGCGCAGGAUAGGUGGGAGGCGUUGAAAAUCUUCUUGCGGGAAGAUUGGAGCCAUUGGUGAGAUACCACUCUAACAAUGCUAGGAUUCUAACCCUAUACCGUUAUCCGGUUAGGGGACAGUUUCAGGUGGUCAGUUUGACUGGAGCGGUCGCCUCCCAAAAGGUAACGGAGGCGUGCAAAGGUUUCCUCAGGCUGGUCGGAAAUCAGUCAUAGAGUGUAAAGGCAUAAGGAAGCUUGACUGUGAGACCUACAAGUCGAACAAAGACGAAAGUCGGCCUUAGUGAUCCGACGGUUCCGAGUGGAAGGGCCGUCGCUCAACGGAUAAAAGUUACUCUAGGGAUAACA
rnacentral:rRNA from 1 species